AACGUAGGAACCGAGCGUUAUCCGAAUUCACUGGGCGUAAAGAGCGAGCAGGCGGUUGGGCAAGUUGGAUGUGAAAGCCUCCGGCUCAACUGGGAGAGGACGUACAAAACUACCCAACUAGAGGGCGGCAGAGGGAGGUGGAAUUCCCGGUGUAGUGGUGAAAUGCGUAGAUAUCGGGAGGAACGCCAGAGGCGAAGGCGGCCUCCUGGGCCGUGCCUGACGCGGAGGAGCGGAAGCUAGGGGCGCGAAGGGG
rnacentral:rRNA from 1 species